AUUGAACGCUGGCGGCAGGCCUAACACAUGCAAGUCGAGCGGAGCGGCGGACGGGUGAGUGAUGCCUAGGUAUCUGCCUGGUCGUGGGGGAUAACGUCCGGAAACGGGAGCUAAUACCGCAUCCUUUCAGAUUCGCCUAGGUCGGAUUAGCUAGGUGGUGGGGUAAAGGCCCACCAAGGCGACGAUCCGUAACUGGGCUGAGAGGAUGAUCAGCAACACUGGAACUGAGACACGGUCCAGACUCCUACGGGAGGCAGCAGUGGGGAAUAUUGGACAAUGGGCGAAAGCCUGAUCCAGCCAUGCCGCGUGUGUGAAGAAGGUCUUCGGAUUGUAAAGCACUUUAAGUUGGGAGGCGUUACCAACAGAAUAAGCACCGGCUAACUUCGUGCCAGCAGCCGCGGUAAUUC
rnacentral:rRNA from 1 species